rnacentral:rRNA from 1 species
AUUGAACGCUGGCGGAAUGCUUUACACAUGCAAGUCGAACGGCAGCACGGGGCAACCUGGUGGCGAGUGGCGAACGGGUGAGUAAUACAUCGGAACGUGCCCAAUCGUGGGGGAUAACGUAGCGAAAGUUACGCUAAUACCGCAUACGAUCUACGGAUGAAAGCGGGGGAUCGCAAGACCUCGCGCGAAUGGAGCGGCCGAUGUCAGAUUAGGUAGUUGGUGGGGUAAAGGCUCACCAAGCCAACGAUCUGUAGCUGGUCUGAGAGGACGACCAGCCACACUGGAACUGAGACACGGUCCAGACUCCUACGGGAGGCGGCAGUGGGGAAUUUUGGACAAUGGGCGCAAGCCUGAUCCAGCCAUUCCGCGUGCAGGAUGAAGGCCUUCGGGUUGUAAACUGCUUUUGUACGGAACGAAACGGUCUGCCCUAAUACGGCGGGCUAAUGACGGUACCGUAAGAAUAAGCACCGGCUAACUACGUG